rnacentral:tRNA from 1 species
GGUGGCUCAGUGGUAGAGUGCUUGCCUAGCAUGCAUGACGUCCUGGGUUCAAUUCCUCAGCACCA